rnacentral:lncRNA from 1 species
CCAUGUUCAGAAAUCUCUCCCCAACAAAGAAUGGAUAUUUAGGUAAAUAAACAUUUCUAAAUAUACUUCUGAAUAUCUCUUCAGCUUCUAGAUGUUUACUUUGAAGCUUACCAACAUGCUAUAGACCCAGAAGAAAGAUUUGCUUUGGCCCAAACAAUAGUUGACGUCAUGCAUAAACGUCCACGAUUUGAUCUCAAGCUUGGAUAUUUUGUGGAUACCUACAGAGAUGAAUGCAUCUGUUUACAGCUUCACCUCCAGCUGCUGAGGGGCAUAGUAAACCAACAAUCCUACUUCAAAGAACAUUUACUUGCUGGAGUUUCACCCUUCUCUUGGUCUGGUGUGCUUGAUCCCCAAAGCUGUUGAGCAUAUCUACCAGGAAUUCUGCAACAUCCUUAGACCGAAAACAGCCAGUGAAGCAAGUAAUCUAGAAAAACAAGUACUUCAGCUAGCAGUGGAUGAGUGGCUAACUAUGGAAAAAGCAGAGUCUUUUUACAGCUCUCAGAUUCAAAAAGAUUUAUUUGCAGAGGUACUGAUAGAAGACCCUGUGCUGGUGCAAGAGAUUGCUUUGUCACUGUUAGAGCUGAGAGCAGAUGAAGAAAAAAAGGAAAGCAGAGAAAAACAAUUCUUUCUCCUCGAUUCCUUUUCCAUGAUCCUAGAGCUUGUGACGCUUCGCCAUCGGUUGAUAGAGGUGGCAACGGAGAGCGCGCAGUUAGCCAGGUUAUACAAAGCUUUUGCAAGGGAAAUGGGUUUUGGUGAGUUCCAUUUGUAUCUGAGGCCAGUGCACUUUGAAUUUGCAUCUUACAAGGAGAAAGCAGACCACAUCCCACCAAUAUUCAUUACAUCCCUCCUGGAAGAUGACAGCUGUGUUGACAGAUAUAUUCCAUCUAACUUACAAUUAGGCAUCCAAGAAAUCGACAGUCAUAUUGGAAAGUUUAGCUUCCGUACAAGAGAUGGUGUUAUGCAGCUCUUGUCCCCGUCUGGAAUAAAGAACAUGCAGCUUAUCCUUGCCUGUCAGGUCAUUCAGAAAAAUGCUCUUUUGGUGGCUGUUCAGCAAGCUUCCUUUUGUUACCUGGUCCAGCCUACCCAUGCCCGGGACACAAAGG